AAAUAAAAUAUUGAACAGUAAUUACUGUAAUAAUUAUUGAGUAGUGUCUUCUUACGUAAGAAUCAAUAAUUGGUACAAUACCGUGUGCUACUGUGUUUUAACCACCGAGUAUUUCAACAAUAUUAACGGUAAUAACAACGCCAUUAUUUAUAAACAACUUAUUUUUGUCGUUUUCUUUAUCCAAUCGUACGAAUAUUCGCCGAUAGUAAGAAUAUUUCACGACCAAAUGAAUAUUCCCCGACAACAAAGAAUAUUUUAUAACCACUUGCUUAUUUGAAAUAUUUGCGUAUUUUACCCAUAACUAACCACAUUAAUCAAAUCAACCCUUAAUAUUUUAAAAUAAUAAAUAGAGGAAAUUAAAUUUUAUUUAUUAAUAAUUUGGGGUCUUACACGUAGUGCAUGAAUAAUUUGUGAUUGUAAUACUAAUGAAUAUUCUUGGCCGUAGUGCAGGGAUGAUUCGAUGAUGUGGAUUAUUUAUUAAGCUGAGUCUCAGCGAUAAAAGUGAUGAAAAACCUUUAAAAUAAUAGAAGAUAGUAGAUUUUAGACUAUGCUUGACUCUUCUAAUGGAUUGCUUGUUCCACUGCAGUUAAACUUAAUGUUUAUUGUAUUUUAUCAGUUUAACACUGUUGAAGGCUAACGAUAAUUUAUUCUGCAUUAUCUUAGUCAUAAUUUUUCUUAUUGGGCUAGUUGAGCUCACCAUUUGCUUUCAUUGUUCUCUUCAGAAAAUGAGAAUAUAGCUGGGACUAGUCGGGAAACGGAGUGACGGUCCAUAUGUUUGCAUUAAUACUCUUCAGAAAAUGAGAAUAUACUGUCUAGAAGACAAUAUUAGUAUGAAAACUCACAGCUCAUGUUGUAUAUUUAAGUUUGUGUUUGUAUUUUGUACCAUGUAUUUGACGACUCAAAAUGUGUGAUGUAUACCUAUUUUGGGGGCGUCACACAUAAGAAAUAUAUAAACAAGGAGAAGGGUCUCCAAAUUUUGGAAUUGAAUUUUA
rnacentral:lncRNA from 1 species